rnacentral:tRNA from 1 species
GCCUGGGUGGCUCAGCCGGUUAAGCGUCCGACUUCAGCUCAGGUCAUGAUCUUGCAGGGUGUGGGUUCGAGCCCCACAUCGGGCU